AUGUGACUUAUCUGGAUGGCGUUGAUUGUAUUAAACUAUUAAUUUGGAUUGACUUGGGUCAAGCUCAGGAAGUUUGUGCUCGCAAUAGUUGCUUGUUUCCAUUGUGUGCAGGUUCCAAUGAGUGCGACGGUAGUCGACAACGAGGAUGGUUGGCAUAAGGCUUGAAGAGCUAAGAUGUGACCAUGGACGUUGUGCGGGAUCAUGCGGCUCAAAGCAACGCACAAGUUUUGGACAAGGACUAUAUGGAGGCAAACGAGAAGACCAUGUCAAGUGAAGGUUAUUUUGGUAUGUUUACCAAAAUCCACUAAGAAGCAAACCAAGAGAGUGAUUGUGGUGUUGCUUAAGAGUGGAAAAUGUUAUUUACAAGUGGCUAAGUAAAAAUGGCUAUUUGUUUUAGUGUUUUGGGCUUGGCCCAUUCGGUGGGAACCAUGGCCCAUUCAAUGGCGGUGGA
rnacentral:lncRNA from 1 species